UUCGCCCUUAGAGUUUGAUCCUGGCUCAGGACGAACGCUGGCGGCGUGCCUAACACAUGCAAGUCGAGCGGGGACAAACGAGUAGCAAUAUGAGUUUGUUCUAGCGGCGGACGGGUGAGUAACGCGUGAGCAACCUGUCCCAGUCAGGGGGAUAACGAACCGAAAGGUUCCCUAAUACCGCAUGAGACCACAUUGCCGCAUGGCAAAGGGGUCAAAGGAGUAAUCCGGACUGGGGUGGGCUCGCGUCUGAUUAGCUAGUUGGUGGGGUAACGGCCUACCAAGGCGACGAUCAGUAGCCGACCUGAGAGGGUGAUCGGCCACAUUGGAACUGAGAAACGGUCCAAACUCCUACGGGAGGCAGCAGUGGGGAAUAUUGGGCAAUGGGCGAAAGCCUGACCCAGCAACGCCGCGUGAAGGAAGAAGGUUUUCGGAUCGUAAACUUCUAUCCUUGGUGAAGAUAAUGACGGUAGCCAAGAAGGAAGCCCCGGCUAACUACGUGCCAGCAGCCGCGGUAAUACGUAGGGGGCAAGCGUUGUCCGGAAUGAUUGGGCGUAAAGGGCGCGUAGGCGGCCUGGUAAGUCUGGAGUGAAAGUCCUGCUUUUAAGGUGGGAAUUGCUUUGGAUACUGUCGGGCUUGAGUGCAGGAGAGGUAAGUGGAAUUCCCGGUGUAGCGGUGAAAUGCGUAGAGAUCGGGAGGAACACCAGCGGCGAAGGCGACUUACUGGACUGUAACUGACGCUGAGGCGCGAAAGUGUGGGGAGCAAACAGGAUUAGAUACCCUGGUAGUCCACACUGUAAACGAUGAAU
rnacentral:rRNA from 1 species